rnacentral:tRNA from 1 species
GGGACUGUAGCUCAGUGGUAGAGCAUGUGCUUGGCAUGUAGGAGAUCCCAGCUUCAAUCCCUAUCAUUUUUA